GAAAGACCCCAUGAACCUUUACUGUAGCUUUGCAUUGGACUUUGAACCGAUCUGUGUAGGAUAGGUGGGAGGCUUUGAAGCGUGGACGCUAGUUCACGUGGAGCCGUCCUUGAAAUACCACCCUGGUUUGUUUGAGGUUCUAACCUUGGCCCGUGAAUCCGGGUCGGGGACAGUGCAUGGUAGGCAGUUUGACUGGGGCGGUCUCCUCCCAAAGUGUAACGGAGGAGUUCGAAGGUACGCUUGGUACGGUCGGACAUCGUACCUAAAGUGCAAUGGCAAAAGCGUGCUUAACUGCGAGACUGACAAGUCGAGCAGGUGCGAAAGCAGGACAUAGUGAUCCGGUGGUUCUGAAUGGAAGGGCCAUCGCUCAACGGAUAAAAGGUACUCCGGGGAUAACAGGCUGAUACCGCCCAAGAGUUCAUAUCGACGGCGGUGUUUGGCACCUCGAUGUCGGCUCAUCUCAUCCUGGGGCUGUAGCCGGUCCCAAGGGUAUGGCUGUUCGCCAUUUAAAGAGGUACGUGAGCUGGGUUUAAAACGUCGUGAGACAGUUUGGUCCCUAUCUGCCGUGGGCGUUGGAAUCUUGACGGGGGCUGCUCCUAGUACGAGAGGACCGGAGUGGACGUACCGCUGGUGUACCUGUUGUCUCGCCAGAGGCAUCGCAGGGUAGCUAUGUACGGAAGAGAUAACCGCUGAAAGCAUCUAAGCGGGAAACUCGCCUGAAGAUGAGGAUUCCCUGGAGGCUUGACCUCCUUGAAGGGUCGUUCGAGACCAGGACGUUGAUAGGCUGGGUGUGGAAGCGCAGUAAUGCGUUAAGCUAACCAGUACUAAUUGCCCGUAAGGCUUGAUCCUAUAACC
rnacentral:rRNA from 1 species